rnacentral:rRNA from 1 species
CGGCAGGCCUAACACAUGCAAGUCGAGCGGUAGCACAGAGAGCUUGCUCUCGGGUGACGAGCGGCGGACGGGUGAGUAAUGUCUGGGAAACUGCCUGAUGGAGGGGGAUAACUACUGGAAACGGUAGCUAAUACCGCAUAACGUCGCAAGACCAAAGUGGGGGACCUUCGGGCCUCAUGCCAUCAGAUGUGCCCAGAUGGGAUUAGCUAGUAGGUGGGGUAACGGCUCACCUAGGCGACGAUCCCUAGCUGGUCUGAGAGGAUGACCAGCCACACUGGAACUGAGACACGGUCCAGACUCCUACGGGAGGCAGCAGUGGGGAAUAUUGCACAAUGGGCGCAAGCCUGAUGCAGCCAUGCCGCGUGUGUGAAGAAGGCCUUCGGGUUGUAAAGCACUUUCAGCGGGGAGGAAGGCGGUGAGGUUAAUAACCUCAUCGAUUGACGUUACCCGCAGAAGAAGCACCGGCUAACUCCGUGCCAGCAGCCGCGGUAAUACGGAGGGUGCAAGCGUUAAUCGGAAUUACUGGGCGUAAAGCGCACGCAGGCGGUCUGUCAAGUCGGAUGUGAAAUCCCCGGGCUCAACCUGGGAACUGCAUUCGAAACUGGCAGGCUAGAGUCUUGUAGAGGGGGGUAGAAUUCCAGGUGUAGCGGUGAAAUGCGUAGAGAUCUGGAGGAAUACCGGUGGCGAAGGCGGCCCCCUGGACAAAGACUGACGCUCAGGUGCGAAAGCGUGGGGAGCAAACAGGAUUAGAUACCCUGGUAGUCCACGCUGUAAACGAUGUCGAUUUGGAGGUUGUGCCCUUGAGGCGUGGCUUCCGGAGCUAACGCGUUAAAUCGACCGCCUGGGGAGUACGGCCGCAAGGUUAAAACUCAAAUGAAUUGACGGGGGCCCGCACAAGCGGUGGAGCAUGUGGUUUAAUUCGAUGCAACGCGAAGAACCUUACCUGGUCUUGACAUCCACAGAACUUUGCAGAGAUGGUUUGGUGCCUUCGGGAACUGUGAGACAGGUGCUGCAUGGCUGUCGUCAGCUCGUGUUGUGAAAUGUUGGGUUAAGUCCCGCAACGAGCGCAACCCUUAUCCUUUGUUGCCAGCGGUUAGGCCGGGAACUCAAAGGAGACUGCCAGUGAUAAACUGGAGGAAGGUGGGGAUGACGUCAAGUCAUCAUGGCCCUUACGACCAGGGCUACACACGUGCUACAAUGGCAUAUACAAAGAGAAGCGACCUCGCGAGAGCAAGCGGACCUCAUAAAGUAUGUCGUAGUCCGGAUUGGAGUCUGCAACUCGACUCCAUGAAGUCGGAAUCGCUAGUAAUCGUAGAUCAGAAUGCUACGGUGAAUACGUUCCCGGGCCUUGUACACACCGCCCGUCACACCAUGGGAGUGGGUUGCAAAAGAAGUA